UGUGAAUCCAGAAUUUGGUUUCUCUAAAAACUUGGAGGCCUUGAAGGGACCCACUUGCAUAAAUGAUUAAAAUUUUGACUCACUUAAACAAACAUUAGAUCAAAGUUGAAUUAUUAAAGUUUAUGAUCAAAUUAAAAUAAAUUGGGUCUAUUUGGUACAAUUGACUUGCUUGGAAAGCUAGGACAUCCUUGCCGAGUAGGGGUGCGCCAACCUGGCUCUCUCAUGAAAGCAAGUAAAAAAUCUUGCCCAUAUAUGCCUCUAGGCAAGCUUUCAUAGGAUUCAAGCACCUACUACGUUUUGACUUCUUGCUCAACAAAGUGAGGCAAGGCCCAAUAAAUAAACCAAACAACCCCUCAAUCUUAAUAUAAUGGGUAUACAUUCAAAUGCACUAAAUUUGGAUUUAAAAUGUUGAAAUUUGGCAAUGGUGGCAAUAUCUUUUGUGGUUGUUGUUAGAGGAAGUCGAGGUGUUAAGUGGCUAUUCACCACAAAUUAUAUACACCUAGCAUAGUCAUGAUUUGGUGAUGUACGUAUUAUUUGAUUUUCCAAGAUUUUUAGUGUCCUACAAAUACAUGAACAAAAUAACCAUGAUUAACUUUGUUUAUUUAUGAAGAAAUGCAAAAUAAUCAUUUUUAGUGCAAAAUAAUAUUUUACUGUGUGAUUCUCAUCUAUAGAGUCUAGAAGAUUUUAUGGUAUAAUUCUAGGGCACUUAUAUGAUUUUAUAUCUAUUUUAUAAAGUAUUUUGUUAGACAUGGUGUCCACUAAUCAAUUUAUCAAGAACCAGAGUGUCUUUCAAAAAUCGCUGAAAAAUAGGUAUCCGUCAACAAAAAGUCAUCACUUGGUAUGUCCAACAGCAAAUUAAUCUGCUUAGAAAUAAACGGUAACCAAGUUAGUACUACCGUCAUAGGAUGCGAGAAAAUAACAAGAGAUAGUACUUGUGCUCCUACAGAAGAAAAAGAAAAAGAAAAAGAAAGAUUAAAAAAGAAGAUAGUAGUACUGGGCUGUCCUGAGAAUCAGAUGGAGCCUGCUUAGUUUUCUGGCCCAUAUCUGUGCGUCGGUGGAUCCACAAGACAGCCCAACAGAUUGGGAAAUGAAACAACUUUGGCGACAAACUGCUCAUAAUCGAAGCCCAUACAGUGGAUUCGUUAUUUCGUUUCCGGCCGUGCCAUAUGCGGGUAAACACUUUUGAUUUUUUUGUGGAGAUAUUUUUUUAACAAACGACUACAAUGUGCAACAAAAACUGACGUGGAAUGAUUCAAAUAUAAAUGCUAUACAUUAGGUGCCUGAUUUUUUCGGUUUCUCUCAAUAAUCACAGCCAUUGGAUCUUAAUCGUUUGGCAACAACUGGCUCUCGGCCACGUCCCGCCCUAGUGGCUCCCCGCCGCGCUAACCCGUCGCGCGCCUCUCCUCUGCACAAUCGCUAUCCACUGCCUCCCUCAAGAUAUUUUCCAAGCCUACAAGAGUUUUUUUUAUGAAAAAUUAAGCCUGCAAGAGUUUGUAAACCUGAAUCCACAUACACCGCCAGAGAGAAGAGCUCAAAUCUCAAUUAAGCAGCUUAUAGUGUAGGAAAUGUACAAUUCAAUCAAUGCACACUUAGUCAUAUCGCCUAGUCCUGUGAAGAAGGAUAAAGUUAUACCUCGCGAUGUUUUUUUUGAAAGAUUUGCAGAAGCACUGCACUGUCAUCCAAGAAGGAGAGAGAGCGCGCGCGCGUAUUACAAAGACAUAUAAAAACAGUUCACCCAAAAAAUAAAAACUUUUCAAGAUUUCUCAUCACAUCGAACCUUAUGCCACAUGCAUAGAGUACUAAAUAUAGAUGAAAACAAAAAGUAAUUUUACAGUUUGCCUGUAAAUCAUGAGAUGAAUCUUUUAAGCCUA
rnacentral:lncRNA from 1 species